UGGCAUGGUAUCAAGGACACAAGCCAUCUCCACCUUCUCACCUCCUUCUCAUCUCUCCUGAGAUGAACUUCAGAAAGAUCUGUUUUUGACUCACACUAGCUAUGAAGACCAUCCACAUCUUUCUACCUUGGUGCCCGAUUCCGACACAGGGAUAAAGCAUUCCCACCUGAGCAUCUCCUGUCUGCCUUUUCCUUCAGCUAUGGGUACUCGUUGCCUCUUCCUUUUUAGUCUUUUUGUGGUUCUUAUUCCUGGUGCAGAUCUGGAAUCUCUUAAUGAUGCCCUCAAUAAAGCAGCGUGUCAGUAUUAUGACGGCAUUUGCAAACCACAGGGCUGUGGUCCAAACUAUGUGAAUAUCGGAUGGUGUGCCCCUAUGUACGCUUGCUGC